UAGGCUCAAUUGUUGUUAGGUUUGGUUAAUCUUCUUCACCAUAACUGUCGCGUUUAAGCAUUUUAUGCGAUUAUUCCCAUUCCUCACGUUCUCAAGCAAUCGGACUCUUCCUCUCCCAAAAACCAACGUAAGCUCCAACUAUAAAUCUCCAAUCUCCAAGGGAUGAACAACACAAUUUGAGAAGAAAAGUCUCUAAUAAUUACCAAAACCGAGAAUGGCUAAUUCCUUCAUCUUUCUUGCGACAGGGACCAGUCUCCAAGUUAAAAACCAUAACGCACCUUCUGAGACAAAGCCCCUGAUAGUACACAAGCUUUCACACCACUUCUCUUUCGGUAAGUAUCUCUAAUAAAAAAUAUUCUUUUUUCAUUAGAUGGGUUUUGUGGGUUUGCUCUGUGACGAGGAAUUGAAUUUGAGGUUUUUAAAGAGGAUGUCGUUGUAGAAAACAGAAAGCAACACCUUAUCCUCUUUUUUUGUGCUGUUGAUAAUACUGUGAGCAUGCGGUUUAUGAAAACUGGGAAACACGUACGAAUCGGAGUGGACUACUCAACUGCUACCUGGUUAAACACGGAGCUAGGAUAUACAGCAUACUUGGUUUGGUUAUCUGAAUAUGAAGGACGGUGGGCUUCACACUUCAACCAUUUCAGUUAAAACUCCAGUUUUUAAAAAUUGUAUUUGUUCAAACUAUGCCCAUGGAGAGAAGUAAUCAGUUCAUUGACCAAUAUUAUAUCAAAGGCCAUGUCCACUUUGACUCAAGUUUGAGCAAGCUCCAAGUUAUGAUGGAGGUUCCAAGGGGUAUCAACGUUGAUAACCGCAACAAAUUUUUUUUUCUGAUAUUGACGGUUCUUUGUUUCAUCAGUGAUCCAGGAAGCUACAUUAUUCUAUGAGACCAUUGUCUAUACGUACAUACGCAUAUGGUGAAGAUUAAAGGGUUUAGCUUAGAUUCGUGUGUCUGUUCAUUGGUUAAAGAAGCUGGUUCAUUGGUUAAUGAAGUUAAAUGGAGUAUUUUUGGUAGUAGUUUUUCUGUCUUAGACUCGGGUUUAGGCUUUGAGAUCGGUGAUCCUUCUCAAAGGACUCUAGUAGGAAAAGCAGUAAAACCAACUCAAAAAUCAAUCUCUACCUCUGGAGCUGUCAACUUGCGGAAAGUCAACAGGGUGAGAAUUGGAGUGCAAGCAAGAGUGACUAAACUUCUUAUGCGGUAAAGAGGAUUGGCUUAUUUAUGAAGAAGAGUCAGGUCUUUGUGUUUAGUAAGUUGCAUAGUCACAUGUGGUUUGUAUGAAAUAUCAAGCUUUGAAGGGUGAUUUGCUUUUAAAAUUUGGCUAUUUGGUUUGGGUCUAAUUUUUCAUUGUAAUGUGUUUCUGAUCAUGAACCGGUUUGAGCAAAUACUA